GUGUAACCAGAUUUUAUGGCAUUAAAUAGUAUAUAUUUCGAAUUGAACCUGAAGUCUCGCAGUACUGGUUCAUUUCCACUUUGGACGAGAACAACCAGCAGCAGCAGUUUUGCUUUGUACUGCGGAGAACAACCACAACAGUUCCAAGGGAGCCGGCUUAAGAACAAGGAGUCAGCAACAUCUAGAAUAUUACUUAGUUGCUCUUCACAGCAGUUACAGACACAGCGUGCGUUUCAUUUGUCGUCGACUCGACUCGAAACGUCUAAAGCAGUCAGCAACAACGAGCCAUUCCCAGCAGACAGGCAGACUACUGUGUCCAGAAGAAGCACGAGGAAAUCGCUUUUUAUUGACCCAGAAGACAAUUCAGAGGAAAUCAAAAUUGAAGGAAUAAUGGCACCUCACGACCGCGACUUUGGUUCCGGCUCACGUGGCGGACGCGACCGCGAUGACGAUCGUCGUGGUGGCGGCGGAGGAGGCGGUGGCGGUGGAGGUCGUUUUGGCGGCGGUGGCGGUGACUACCACGGUGUUCGCAAUGGUCGCAUUGAAAAACGUCGCGAUGAUCGCGGCGGUGGCGGUCGUUUUGGCGGUGGUGGCGGCGGCGGCGGUGGCUUCGGUGGUGAUCGUCGCGGUGGCGGCAACAGCCAAGAUUUGCCUAUGCGCCCCGUGGACUUCUCCAAUUUGACACCGUUCAAGAAGAACUUCUAUCAGGAGCAUCCCACGGUCGCCAACCGUUCGCCGUACGAAGUGCAACGCUAUCGCGAUGAACACGAGAUCACAGUGCGCGGCCAGGCGGCCAAUCCCAUUCAGGACUUCUCGGAGGCUUAUCUGCCCGACUAUGUGGUAAAGGAGAUUCGUCGACAGGGCUACAAGUCGCCAACACCCAUCCAGGCACAGGGCUGGCCAAUUGCCAUGAGUGGUGCCAAUUUUGUGGGCAUUGCCAAGACUGGUUCAGGCAAGACACUGGGCUACAUUCUGCCCGCGAUUGUGCACAUCAACAACCAGCAGCCGCUGCAGCGUGGAGAUGGACCCAUCGCAUUGGUGCUGGCGCCGACUCGCGAGCUGGCCCAACAGAUCCAGCAGGUGGCCACUGAGUUCGGUUCGUCGUCGUAUGUGCGCAACACUUGCGUCUUUGGCGGCGCUCCGAAGGGAGGUCAAAUGCGUGAUCUGCAGCGUGGCUGUGAGAUUGUGAUUGCCACACCCGGUCGUCUCAUUGAUUUCCUCUCGGCGGGCUCCACGAAUCUGAAGCGUUGCACCUACCUGGUGUUGGAUGAGGCCGAUCGCAUGUUGGACAUGGGUUUCGAGCCCCAGAUUCGCAAGAUUGUGUCACAGAUUCGUCCCGAUCGUCAGACGCUCAUGUGGAGUGCCACCUGGCCCAAGGAGGUAAAACAACUGGCCGAGGAUUUCCUGGGCAACUAUAUUCAGAUCAACAUUGGCUCGCUGGAGCUUUCGGCCAAUCACAACAUUCGCCAAGUGGUCGAUGUGUGCGAUGAAUUCAGCAAGGAAGACAAAUUGAAGACACUGCUUUCGGACAUUUAUGACACCAGCGAGAAUCCCGGCAAAAUCAUCAUAUUCGUUGAGACAAAACGUCGCGUGGACAACUUGGUGCGUUUCAUUCGCAGCUUCGGUGUUCGCUGUGGCGCCAUUCACGGCGACAAAUCACAGUCAGAGCGUGACUUUGUUUUACGCGAGUUCCGCUCGGGCAAGUCCAACAUUCUCGUGGCCACCGAUGUGGCUGCUCGUGGUUUGGAGGCCGUUUAUUGUAGUAUGAUGGGGAGGAUGAUAAAAGACAAUCGACAAGUUCCAAUAAUACCUGUACUCGUAACUUGAGCGACUUUUGCUUCUAAAAGUAAACUGACUAAAUGAAUGAAUGAUAAAUGUGUUGAAGUUUAUCAAGAGCAAAAGGUAUAUACAUAUACAGUAUACAGUUGACAUGAUCGAGUCGUGUUCGCUUGGCUGCCGCACGGACGCGCGAUCAACGUAAACGAAAUUCGCAUACGAGACGAGAUUAACAAAUCCCCAACAUCAUGCAUCAUACGUGGCCUCUGCACUUCUAAUUGAGAAAGAGAGCAUUCAAUAUUGUGUUGUACAGUAAAUCGAAACCAAACCGAAAAACCAACCAACCAACCAACCAACCAAAUCAACCUGCAAACAAACAAGCAAACGGUCAAAGUCACGUUUUGUCACAAGACGGCAUCAAAGCCAAAAAGUUGAAGGCGGCGCUACAAAGCAGGCAAAAAACCAUCUCUCUAACUUGGGAGGCUGACAUCGUCGGCCGGCCGGCCGGUUGCUAAGCACACAACAACAAACUUCAGCCAGGCAGCAACAGCAACAAAAAGCACACAAAAACCAAUUCAGCGGGCGGUUCAAUGUAAUCCUUGCCCAGAGCGCGUUAACCCGAGGAAGCACAAUGCGCGGCGCACCACCCACAACAUCUGUCCACACACAUGCACACGAAACACAACCACACACACGCCCACACAUGCUAUGCCACAACCACACGCCAAGCACGCUGAGAAGAGUUGCAUGUGGAGCAGAGGACGCUUUCGAUCAAGAGCUGUGUGUGGGUUCAAGAAGCAGAUGCUACUGGUCAUCAUGGUUCGUGUUAGUGGUCGUCGUCGUAACCGUAUCCAUAUCAUCGUCGGCGUCGUCGUCGCCGCCGUCGCUGCUGCUGCUGCUGAUGCUGAGUGCCUAGCUACCAAUUGGGCCGACACGCCCAUUGCCCGCCCGUCUGCCUGCGCCGCCAUCGCCCGUCGUAAUUGUCGGUGGCAACUGAUCCUGGACACACGCCGCUUGCUUAAAAAGUUCUCUGGUCGACAAAUGAAUCGCGCCUCCACCCUUUCUGAGCGGAGGAGGAUGCGGUUAUAUCGGUUGGCCUGGGCCCCCUCAGAUCUAAAUGAGUCGAGUCGAGUUCAGAUGAGGCAGGCGCACGCGGCUCAAUGCAACAAACUCUCGCCGCGCUCGCUUCGCCAUGCGACCAUUUGGGGAGAGUUUGGAUCACGAGCUGUGCGGCGUCACAUAACUUUGAGAUUUUGAUUGAGAGAAAUUGAGUGAAACAAUUUGUAGCACCAAGAAGACGUCGAUGGCAUCAAGUAUGUUAUCAACUUUGACUACCCACAAAACAGCGAGGACUAUAUCCAUCGCAUUGGGCGCACAGGACGUUCAAAUACCAAAGGCACAUCCUUCGCCUUCUUCACGAAAAACAAUGCCAAGCAGGCCAAGGCUCUGGUUGAUGUGCUGAGAGAGGCUAACCAAG